UCCGGCUGCCUCUCGCGGGGCACUAUCCCCCGAAGCGGAAGAAGUGAUGGGGGUGUCUGCCAAGGGAACGAGUGGCAUUUCAAAUCUGGCAGGAAGAAAGAGAAACGCGAAAUUCACAGAGCCGACCGCGAUUGGUCGCGCCUCCUGUGACGUGCAGCGGCAGAGGCCGAAGGGAUUCCCGGUCGGCCUCGCGGGAAAGAGGCGGGGAAGGCAGAUAGACGUUACCUUAAGUAUGGCGCUUGUCGCGUCUGAAACUCUAGGUCUUCCCUUUUUAAUCUGUUUAUCGUUUGUUUCCUAAUCCUCAUUUAAUACGAUGUAAGGCCAGGGACUUUGCUUCUCAGUGCCUCGCACAUAGUAGGCACUCAAGUACUCGUUCCCUGAAAUACUACGAAUUAACUUCACAUAUGAAAAUAACCGACAGAACGCGGGUGACAACGGUCAAACGUUUGUUAGAAAUUUACUGUGUGCCAGUCACCUAAACCGAAACCCUGAACUCUUCAUCAGCAAAAAUGUUUUGUGGCAGGCAGAAGGGCCUCCUCACAGAGAUUUCUGCCACAUCGCAGGAAGCCACAGAUGUCUUCGACCCUCAAGCCAGCCAGUCACCAUGAUUGGAAGGGCCAGGCCUGUCAGGACUGAAAUCAAAAGCCUGAAAACCAACACCAGAGUGGACAAAGAACAUCUUAGAAUCCUUGUGGGGACCAGUGAUGCAAAGAUCUGGUGUCUCCUGCUUCUCAUUUUGGCACUUCAGAAGUUCCUUCCCUGGACCCAUCCCUGACGAAGGGUUUCAGCCUCCAUUGAUAAGAUUAUUGUUACUGCAGCCAAGUGGGGGCUUAAAAUAGUAAUAAAGCUCAGUUACAGAAAAAAAUUCUAUUUCUUACACAUUGGAGUUUGUAGACUGAAGUUUAUUCCUGCUACAGUAUUCAGGAGUAUUAUAUAGUAACCAUAAAUUUUUAAGUUCAAUAUUAUGAGACGUUUCCCUUCACUCAAAGAUCAUGGGGUUUUAUUUGUUUAUAUUUUUAUUUGGCACCUAUAGUUAAGAACACAGCUGAGAGAAACUAACACCACCUUACCUGGCAUCAUCACCUUAUUAGCUUAUGAGCUUAUCUAGGUUAGGGCCAGACAUUUCCUUUGAAUCCCCCACGGUCACUGGCAUGCACAGUGCUUGCACUUGGUAGGUGCUCAGUAAAUAUUGAAUGAAUCAUAAAAUGUGUACUGAGAACUUUAGGUAUUGAUUCCUCUUGUUCGUGGUGUAAUAUUUAAGAUAUUUAUGUUACAAAUAUUUUACCAUCGUCAAAAAUACAUUCACGCAUAAAGAGCUUCAAAGUGAAUGUAACAAAAAACACUUCACAUUUUGGACCUGUGUUUUUAGCUAUUUAGAACCACAGUUCUGCUUUGAGUUUCAAAAAACUACCUUCAGUACCAUAAAAAUAAUGAUUAUAUUUUUAUUGUCAUUUCUCAUUCCUUUUACAACAGAUUAUCAUAAAGAUGCACUUACAUAAACUACCUACUGGCUUUCCUGUAAAACCCAUCUCAUAAGACACUUGUUUCAUCAGCCCCUUGACACAGUGUCUCAUAUCUUUGUCUUCUCAGCACCUAGCGCAGUGCCUGGUACAAAGUAUAAGAACAGAAAGUGUGUGCUGAAUGAAUAUGAGUAAACAUAUCCCAUUAAGUCAAUAGUUCUCAAAAUUGAGUGAGCAUUAGAGUCACCUGUAGAGCUUGUAAAAAAACUCUGCUGGGCCCUCUACCUUCAAGUUUCUGACUUACGAGGUUUUGAGUAGGGGCACGGGGAUUUGCAUUUCCAACAGAUUUCCAAGAUGGUGAUGGUACUGCUGAUACCCGUCAUACUUUUCACACCAUUGAACUAAAUUAAGCUGCUUGAGGACAGGAGCUGUGUCUUCAUUUCAGGAUCCCGAGCUGCCUCUGCCAUAGGACCUAGCACAUAGGAGCUAUUUAGUUGAUUUGAAUAACUGUUCAAAAGUUUAUUUUAUUGAAUCUAGAUUACAAGUGUAUGAAUAUAUGUGUAUAUUAUUAAAUAAACUAAUACAUGUAAAAGUCUUAAAACAUGGUCCAUAUUAAACUAUGUUUGCCAAAAAUAA